rnacentral:rRNA from 1 species
GACGAACGCUGGCGGCGUGCUUAACACAUGCAAGUCGAACGGAAAGGCCUCUUUCGGGGGGUACUCGAGUGGCGAACGGGUGAGUAACACGUGAGUAACCUGCCCUUGACUUUGGGAUAACUACAGGAAACUGGGGCUAAUACCGGAUAGGAGCUCCUGCGGAAUGGUGGGGGUUGGAGAGUUUCGGCGGUUGGGGGUGGACUCGCGGCUUAUCAGCUUGUUGGUGGGGUAGUGGCUUACCAAGGCUUUGACGGGUAGCCGGCCUGAGAGAGCGACCGGACACAUUGGGGUUGAGAUACGGGCCAGACUCCGACGGGAGGCAGAGGUGGGGAAUAUUGCACGAUGGGUGGAAGCCUGAGGCAGCAACGCCGUGUGCGGGAUGACGGCUUUCGGGUUGUAAAACGCUAUCGGUCAGGACGAAGCUUUGUGUGAAGGUAGUGGGUAAAGAAGCACCGGCUAACUAAGUG